rnacentral:rRNA from 1 species
GACGAACGCUGGCGGCGUGCUUAACACAUGCAAGUCGAACGAAGUGGCGAACAGGGGAGUAAUACGUGGGAACCUGCCCUCCUUUUUGGUAUAAGCCUUGGAAACGGGGUCUAAUACCGAAUAAAGGGGGAUGGGCUCGCGGCCUAUCCGCUUGUUGGUGGGGUAAAGGCCUACCAAGGCGACGAUCCGUAACUGGUCUGUGAGGAUGAUCAGGCCGACUGGAACUGAGACACGGUCCAGAUGCCUACGGGAGGCAGCAGUGGGGAAUAGUGGACACUGGGGGGAAGCCUGAUCCAGCAAUGCCGCGUGUGUGAAGAAGGUCUUCGGAUUGUAAAACACUUUAAGUUGGGAGGCGUUACCAACAGAAUAAGCACCGGCUAACUUCGUGCCAGCAGCCGCGGUAAUAC